rnacentral:rRNA from 1 species
CAAUAGCGUAUAUUAAAGUUGUUGCAGUUAAAAAGCUCGUAGUUGGAUUUCUGGCAGGAGCGACCGGUCCGCCGCAAGGUGUGCACUAGGUUGUCUCCAGUCAUCUUUGUGGGAACUGCUCUGGCAUUAGGUUGUCGGGGUUAGGGAACACAUCGUUUACUGUGAAAAAUUAGAGUGUUUAAAGCAGGCUUAUGCCGUUGAAUACAUUAGCAUGGAAUAAUAAGAUAGGACUUUGGUGGUCUAUUUUGUUGGUUUGCACACCAAGGUAAUGAUUAAUAGGGAUAGUUGGGGGUAUUCGUAUUUAAUUGUCAGAGGUGGAAUUCUCAGAUUUGUUAAAGACUAACUUAUGCGAAAGCAUUUGCCAAGGAUGUUUUCAUUGAUCAAGAACGAAAGUUAGGGGAUCGAAGAUGAUCAGAUACCGU